rnacentral:rRNA from 1 species
AAGUNACGGGGCAGCACAGUGUAGCAAUACAUGGGUGGCGACCGGCAAACGGGUGCGGAACACGUACACAACCUUCCUUUAAGNGGGGAAUAACCCGGAGAAAUUCGGACUAAUACCCCAUAGUAACUANAUGGUGGCAUCNACUUUUAGUUUAAAACUACGGUGCUUAGAGAUGGGUGUGCGUCUGAUUAGGUAGUUGGAGAGGUAACGGCUCACCAAGCCAACGAUCAGUAGCUGAUGUGAGAGCAUGAUCAGCCACACGGGCACUGAGACACGGGCCCGACUCCUACGGGAGGCAGCAGUAAGGAAUAUUGGACAAUGGACGCAAGUCUGAUCCAGCCAUGCCGCGUGAAGGAUUAAGGUCCUCUGGAUUGUAAACUUCUUUUAUAGGGAAGAAAAGCAGAGAUUCUUCUUGUUGAGUACUUAUG